CGCGAUGUACCCAAGCAGCGAAGGGACCGGUCUGCAAAGCCGUGUGUCGCGGGUGCAAGUCCCGCCAUCGCGU
rnacentral:tRNA from 1 species